GGAGAUAGCUCAGUUGGUAGAAGGUUUGCCUUGAAUGCACGAGGCCCUGGGUUUAAUCCCCAGCACCA
rnacentral:tRNA from 1 species